UGAUUCGGUACAUGCCGGUUUACAAUUCCGAAUACUAAGUCAUUUUAAUACCAAAUCAAAAGGGUUGUUUUAUUAGCACCCCACAUUGUUGAAUACAUCACACGUACUUAAAACACCCCACACUUACUUUUUAAACUUAAAUAUAUCUUAAUACACCCCACUUACUAACCAAAACUACCCUCACACCCCACACCAAAAUCUACCUCAAGUCUUCAUCUUGUCCAAAAAAUAAAUUUAAACCCUUUGCCUUUAGCACACAAACAGUGCGCAUGGUUCUGCUGCUUCAAGAUUUUUGUCAAUUUAGGGGAAUUAGGCUUUAGAUGUGAAUUUGAUUUUAAACUCAGAAAUGGCUACUUUGCUGGCUUUUCUGAAAUAAAAAAAUCAUGAAAGGACUAGUUGAUUGUGCUAUUGCUGUGUCCGUGCA
rnacentral:lncRNA from 1 species